GGACGAUUAGCUCAGCUGGGAAGCAGGAUGUCGGCAGUUCGAUCCUGUCAUCGUCCACCA
rnacentral:tRNA from 1 species